rnacentral:rRNA from 1 species
AACGAACGCUGGCGGCGGGCCUCAUACAUGCAAGUCGAGCGCGAAAGUCCGCAAGGAUGAGUAAAGCGGCGCACGGGUGAGUAACACGUGGAUAAUCUACCCUUUGGAUUGGAAUAACCUGUCGAAAGACGGGCUAAUGCCGAGUAAGCUUACGAGUUCGUGAAGUUCUUGUAAGGAAAGAUGGCGCAAGCUAUCGCCGAUGGAUGAGUCUGCGUCCCAUUAGUUAGUUGGUGGGGUAAUGGCUUACCAAGACUAUGAUGGGUACCUGGUCUGAGAGGAUGACCAGGCACACUGGAACUGAAACACGGUCCAGACUCCUACGGGAGGCAGCAGUGGGGAAUAUUGCGCAAUGGGCGAAAGCCUGACGCAGCCACGCCGCGUGAGCGAUGAAGGCCUGGUCGUAAGACUCUGUGGGAGGAGAAGAAUAAAGACCUAGUGAAGAGCAGGCCUUGACGGUAGUACUCCUUA